AUUGAACGCUGGCGGCAGGCCUAACACAUGCAAGUCGAACGAGUGGCGGACGGGUGAGUAAUGUAUGGGAAACUGCCCGAUGGAGGGGGAUAACUACUGGAAACGGUAGCUAAUACCGCAUACCAUCGGAUGUGCCCAGAUGGGAUUAGCUAGUUGGUGGGGUAACGGCUCACCAAGGCGACGAUCCCUAGCUGGUCUGAGAGGAUGACCAGCCAAACUGGAACUGAGACACGGCCCAGACGCCUACGGGAGGGAGCAGGGGGGAAUAUUGCACAAUGGGCGCAAGCCUGAUGCAGCCAUGCCGCGUGUAUGAAGAAGGCCUUCGGGUUGUAAAGUACUUUCAGCGGGGAGGCGUUACCCGCAGAAGAAGCACCGGCUAACUCCGUGCCAGCAGCCGCGGUAAUUC
rnacentral:rRNA from 1 species